rnacentral:lncRNA from 1 species
GGUUUUGGUGAUAAGAUGUUGGUGUCAAUCCGAGAUGAUAUACCCAGCCAGAUGAUGCAAGCGCUUUUGCAAGGCUUAUGUGUAUGUGAAGUGUAGGUUACGUACGGGUUACAACACUGAGAGAUUCUCCAACACUCCAACACUAUGCCUUCCAGGUGUUCAGCAACGGAGGUUUAGAGACAGAGCUAGAAAGAUAACCGGGCUAAGAGGACAGGCAAUAUAUUGGCACUGGCUCUCCAAGGUCAACCAGGACAUUUCUAUAGAUUCCUGCAAAGUUGGGUCAAGACUGGGUCAAAACAUCUAUGCUGCAGUUUUGGACUGAAACGGCCCCCAAGAGCCUGUAUGCUUCAGGAUUGGUCACCAGCCUGUGGCUCUAUAUUAAGGUAUGUCAGAAACUGUAGGAGGCGGGGCCUUGAGAAGGAAGGGAGGUCACUGGGGCGUGGCUUG